CUUGGCUGUUGUAUGACAGACCCUUCUGCUUGUGUAGUAUUCCUUUACACACGCACUGUGACAAGCUUGAUAAACCUGUAGUUUGUACUAUGGAUGUGAAGCAAGAAAAUAAUUUGUUUGCCAAACAAUCAGACCUUAGAGGAGUGGCCAAGACCAUGGAUUCAAUCUCUCUUGAUCUGAAGAAACUCACUGACAGAUCAUACCUGUUGCUUUGUGAUUUGAAUUUAGCCUGCAGCUGCCCUGAAGAGACCCCCGUUAUAAAAAUGGGAGAAGAUAAGUUUUCUUAAGGAGAACAACUUAUGAAACAAAUAACUAGGAAGUAAAGCUUUGUUUAAUUACCAGUGCCCUGUGUUGUAUUUCAUCUUGUGUUUCAUUUCUUAAUACUGACAUUUGUAUAUCAUUAUGUACUGUAUCAAAGUGCAAUGCUGUUUUAAAGUUAAUAUGUUUGAUUAAGAUAAAAUAUAAAAAUAUUGUAUGAAACAGUUGUUCAAUAAAAAGUGUGAUGCUAUCAACCAAAAAUAUGUAGUGUGAUCAGGGCAGCUAAAUUCACAUCCAAAUAAAUGUAAAGAAAGUAA